rnacentral:rRNA from 1 species
UACGUAGGGUGCCAGCGUUAAUCGGAAUUACUGGGCGUAAAGCGUGCGCAGGCGGCUUUGCAAGACAGAUGUGAAAUCCCCGGGCUCAACCUGGGAACUGCAUUUGAGACUGCAAGGCUAGAGUACGGCAGAGGGGGAUGGAAUUCCGCGUGUAGCAGUGAAAUGCGUAGAUAUGCGGAGGAACACCAAUGGCGAAGGCAAUCCCCUGGGCCUGUACUGACGCUCAUGCACGAAAGCGUGGGGAGCAAACAGG